AAGAGUUAGGGUCCCUCGUGGCCCGACCUCCCAACCCUUUGUCUACCAAACCAUUUGUUGCUUCGGCGAGCCCGUCCUCACGGACCGCCGGGGGGCCUUCACCGGCCCCCUGGCCCGCGCUCGUCGGUGGCCCAAACCAAAAAUUCUUUAACUAAACGUGUCUUGACUAAGUACAAAUUUUUAAUUAAAGCA
rnacentral:misc_RNA from 1 species